GAUGAACGCUAGCGGCAGGCUUAACACAUGCAAGUCGAGGGGUAUAGUUCUUCGGAGCUAGAGACCGGCGCACGGGUGCGUAACGCGUAUGCAAUCUACCUUUUGCAGAGGGAUAGCCCAGAGAAAUUUGGAUUAAUACCGCAUGGUAUGUGAGAGUGGCAUCAUUUUCACAUUAAAGUCACAACGGCAAAAGAUGAGCAUGCGUCCCAUUAGCUAGUUGGUAAGGUAACGGCUUACCAAGGCAACGAUGGGUAGGGGUCCUGAGGGGGAGAUCCCCCACACUGGUACUGAGACACGGACCAGACUCCUACGGGAGGCAGCAGUGAGGAAUAUUGGACAAUGGGCGCAAGCCUGAUCCAGCCAUGCCGCGUGCAGGAUGACGGUCCUAUGGAUUGUAAACUGCUUUUGUACAGGAGGAAACACUGGUUCGUGAACCAGCUUGACGGUACUGUAAGAAUAAGGAUCGGCUAACUCCGUGCCAGCAGCCGCGGUAACAC
rnacentral:rRNA from 1 species